AGUGCGCAAGCGCCGGGCGGCAGCUGCACAGAGCAGGGGGAGCCGCGCCGCCGCCGCCGCCGGCAGUGCGGCCUCCGGGCGCCGCGGCCACCGGGCAGCGCCCCCGGGCCUCCUGCGCCCCCAGAGGGGACGCCCCGGACGCCCUCCUGGGGAGGUGGCGAAGGGCGCACGGCGACCCCCGGCUCUGGGCGCGCGGUGGGGGCGGGCGUGCGGACACGCGCGCUGACCCUUCCUCGGAGGCUGCAGGUGCCGAGGGGUCCAUGGGAGACAGCCGGUCUGCGGGGCGCGGGGGGGUCGCGUUCCCCGGGAGCCAGCCCAGCUGCCCCUGCCCAGCCCCCAGAGCGCGGCGGCGGGUGCAGUCGUGCAAGUUUCUUGCGGGUCUCUUGACUUCUCCGAGUUGAAGGCACCGGUUCGGGACGCGAGGUGCUCUUGGAAAGAGUUGGGCAUCGCGCAUCUCUGCUGGCCCGCGGCCCUGUUCAAAUGCGAGCUAGGACGUCGCCUGCCCCAGGCUUUGUCCUUUUGGAAAACUAGGGUUGUAGGAAGGUGCCUGGUGCCAGGCAGACCACCAGAGACUCUCGACCUUGAGUACUAAAGAGUUUUCUGCUCAGCAAAAGCUCAAUGAUGAUCAGCAUCGUAACAGGGACUCUUCCUCCCGCCCCCAGAAGUUCUCUUGUCAUAAACAAGGCGAGGGGGUCUUCGCUGAGCUUCACCAGAGGACCACGAUUUCACCUUAAGCCAUUCCUGACUUCAGUACCAGACUGAGACCAGGCGCUGCUACUGCCCAAAUGACCCCUGGUCCCAUCUACAAGGAGCACUUUUGAGGCCUCAGAACAGAGCCCCGGGGAGAAAUCUGCGAUGAUCAGGGUAACCUGGGUGCCGCAUCUUGCUGUUCAGCUGCAGCGGAACCGGCCGGACCAGAGCUAAUGCGCGCCCAGAAUGAAGAGGGAGACCGAGAGUGGCCCAAAUGUCAGCGCCCCGGGCCUGGAGAUGACAGCCCGACAGCAGCCAUUUCACAGCUGGGGAAACUGAGUCCUGGGAAAGUUUAAGGUUGCAGCCUUAAGUUGUUACUCAUUCUAGACGUUUCCCCUGAGGGUUUGGUCUUUGGGGAACACGCUACUGUGGAAAUGGAGAGACCGCAGGCCUUUUCCUAGGCAUUUGUUUUUACUAUUCUGAAACGCAGUCUCCUGACGUGAAAAAUGAAGAAAAGAACAAAUACUGGCCGGGCGCGGUGGCUCAUGCCUGUAAUACCAGCACUUUGGGAGGCCGAGGCGGGUGGAUCACUUGAGGUUAAGAGUUCGAUACCAGCCUGGCCAACAUGGUGGGUGAAACCCCGUCUCUACUAAAAAUACAAAAAUUAGCCGGGCGCGGUGGUGGGCUCCUGUAAUCGCAGCUACUCGGGAGUCUGAGGCAGGAGACUCGCUUGAACCUGGGAGACGGAGGUUGCAGUGAGCAGAGAUCCAGCCACUGCACUCCAGCCUGGGAGACAGAGUGAGACCCUGUCUCAGAAAAAAAAAAAAGGCCGGGCGCGGUGGUUCAUGCCUGUAAUCCCAGCACUUUGGAGGCCGAAGUGGGCAGAUCACGAGGUCAGGAGUUCGAGACCAGCCUGGCCAACAUGGAGAAACCCUGUCUCUACUAAAAAUACAAAAAUUAGCUGGGCGUGGUGGUGCAGGCCUGUAAUCUGAGCUACGCGGGAGGCUGAGGCAGGAAAAUGCUUGAACCUGGGAGGCAGAGGUGCAAUGAUCAUGCCAUUGCACUCCAGCCUGGGCAACAGAGCAAAACUGAAUCUCAAAAAAACAAAACAAAACAAAAUAAAACAAAACAAAACAAAAAAAGAAAGAGAGAAAGAAAAAGAAAAAAAAGAGAAAGAGAAAGAAGGACUUCAGAGAAUCGUUCCGAGAAUUUUCUGGGAAAAUAUGCAACAGCAGGUCAUAAAACAGAUCUCACAGAGAUAUGUGAGAUCAAUAGGUAUGUGCUUUGGGCCACAUGAAACUUUAAAAAAAUGUAUCUUAAAAUUUAAAAUAGGAAAAUAUUAUGUCAGAAUUCAAAUAGUGACUGAGGAACAGAUAAAUGUGUCUAUCCACACAAUGGAAUAUUAUUCAGCCAUAAAAGGGAAUGAAUACAUGCUACAACAUGGGUGAACCUUGAAACACGCUAAGUGAAAGAAGCCAGUCACAAAAGGAUAAAUAUGCGUAAGUCCAUUUGCGGGAGAUAUCUACAACUAGGCGAAUCCAUAAAGACAGAUAUCAGAUUGGUGGUUGCCAGAGGCAAGGGGGAGGGAGAGCAGGAGUGACUGCUAACGGAUGUGGGGUUUCCUUUCGGAGUGAUAGGAAAGUUCUGGAAUGAGAUAGUGGUGAUGGUUGCAGAACAAUGUGAAUGUACUUAAUGACGCUGAAUUGUACACUUUUAAAUGGUUACAAUGGUCAAUUUUAUGUGUAUUUGAUCAUAAUAAAAAGAAAUCUAGGCUGGGCGCGGUGGCUCACAUCUGUGAUUCCAGCACUUUGGGAGGCCGAGGUGGGUGGACUGCUAGAGGCCAGGAGUUUGAGACCAGCCUGGGCAACAUGGUGAAACCCCAUCUCUACAAAAAAUUCAAAAAAUAGCCAGGUGUGGUUGUGCGCAUCUGCAGCCCCAGCUGCUCAGGAGGCUGAGGUGGGGAAGAUGGCUUGAGCCCAGAACGUAGAGGCUGCAGUGAGCCAAGAUCAUGCCACUGCAUGAAGCAAAGAAAGAGAGAGAGAGAGAGAGAGAGAGAAAAGAAAGAACGAAAGAAAGAAAGAAGAAAAGAGAGAGGGAUGAGGAGAAGGAGAGAGGGAGGGAAGGAAGAAGGAAGAAAAAGAGGGAAGGAGGGAGGGAGGAAGGAAGGAAGGAAAAAAAAAAAUACCCAGCUUCUCUAGAACCAGCAGAUCUGCAAACUGGACCCUCAGUGCCACAUGGCACCCAUCGGCUAGAGCAGAGAGCUCUGUCUGUAUCUUUCAGACAGAGUUAUCUGGGUCACCAGUGCACUCAUAGCCACUUUACUCAUUUGUGUUACCUGUCUGGCCCCUGAAAGUAUUUGUGAUUUUGAUCCCCAAUAAAACCAUAAAGCUUUCUUCAAAUGUCCUUUGUAAAUCUAGUAUGUCAC
rnacentral:lncRNA from 1 species